CUCAGUUAGCCCUGACAACCGCCUGGCGAGAAGGGGCCAGUCAUGGUCGCUAGUUCCCAGAUGAGAGAACCAAGGCUCAGGGGGGAAGCCAGCGGCAGGCAGGAGUCCCAAGUCCAGUAACAGCAGAAAGACAGGAGGAAACGGGCUUCGCCGUGUGGCUCUCUUGAGAGCCGUCUCUGGGUGGCUUGUUCCCUGGUAACCCGGCGUGGACUGCAGUGUCGCUCUAGAGGGAGCGCGUCCCUCUCACUGGGCCGCUGAAACCCAAUCUCCAGGAAGGGACGUUCUAACAGAAUCGGAGGUUAAAUUUCAUUUGCUGAUUUAAUAAAAACUAACAGGAUGGA